AUUGUUAAUUUCUUAUUCUUUGUUCACCGUUUAUCUUCCAAUUUGUUCAUACAAAUUAAAAAUUGAAAUUUGUGAUACUAUCUAAAUAAGGUUGUUGUUGUGAUGAUGCUUUGUGAUGUACAUUGUUGAUAUGCUUCAUAAUUGUGGAAUGCUUCUUAAUGCUUCAUAAUUUGAUGAAAAAUCUGAAACAAACAGGCUCAUCAUUGGAUCAUGAUCACAACGAAAUAUUAACAGAGGUAUCAACACAAGAAUUAGUAGCUUUGCGAUACGAGUAACAAACUUUAAUUUACCAAUCCAUAGUGAGCAAUUGACGAAUAUGCUGCAACAACCUCCAAUCAACCACACUAUCUAAGGAAUCCUCCAACAACAUAUCAACAAUCAUUAUUGGAAUUUACUCACAUUCGUUGUAAUUUGGUUCAUGAAAUUUUGAAGUUAGAUGACCAUAUUUACAAGAAUUAGUUUUUCUCAUGUCAUAUAAGUAGUGUUUAUCAUCGGAAGGUAUAAAGUGUUUUUAUAUCUAAAAAAACCUAUUAUUUCAUUCCCUCAAACUCGGAAAAUAGGAUAUGUGACAAGAAGUCAUGUUGAACUGAUCAAAACUGAUAAUAAUCCUAAUUUAUGGUCCUUUGAAACAAGUUCUUAUGCUUUUUCUAAGACUCAAAUUGCUUGC
rnacentral:lncRNA from 1 species